GUGGGGAAUAUUGGUCAAUGGGGGAAACCCUGAACCAGCAACGCCGCGUGAAGGAAGAAGGCUUUCGGGUUGUAAACUUCUUUGACAGGGGACGAAACAAAUGACGGUACCCUGAAAACAAGCCACGGCUAACUACGUGCCAGCAGCCGCGGUAAUACGUAGGUGGCAAGCGUUGUCCGGAUUUACUGGUGUAAAGGGCGUGUAGGCGGGACGGUAAGUCAGAUGUGAAAUGUAGGGGCUCAACCCCUGAACUGCAUUUGAAACUAUCGUUCUUGAGUGAUGGAGAGGCAGGCGGAAUUCCGUGUGUAGCGGUGAAAUGCGUAGAUAUACGGAGGAACACCAGUGGCGAAGGCGGCCUGCUGGACAUUAACUGACGCUGAGGCGCGAAAGCGUGGGGAGCAAACAGGAUUAGAAACCCUGGUAGUCC
rnacentral:rRNA from 1 species